GAUGAACGCUGGCGGCGUGCCUAAUACAUGCAAGUCGAGCGAACGGACGAGAAGCUUGCUUCUCUGAUGUUAGCGGCGGACGGGUGAGUAACACGUGGAUAACCUACCUAUAAGACUGGGAUAACUUCGGGAAACCGGAGCUAAUACCGGAUAAUAUUUUGAACCGCAUGGUUCAAAAGUAAAAGACGGUCUUGCUGUCACUUAUAGAUGGAUCCGCGCUGCAUUAGCUAGUUGGUAAGGUAACGGCUUACCAAGGCAACGAUGCAUAGCCGACCUGAGAGGGUGAUCGGCCACGCUGGAACUGAGACACGGUCCAGACUCCUACGGGAGGCAGCAGUAGGGAAUCUUCCGCAAAGGGCGAAAGCCUGACGGAGCAACGCCGCGUGAGUGAUGAAGGUCUUCGGAUCGUAAAACUCUGUUAUUAGGGAAGAACAUAUGUGUAAGUAACUGUGCACAUCUUGACGGUACCUAAUCAGAAAGCCACGGCUAACUACGUG
rnacentral:rRNA from 1 species